CACGUAGGGGGCAAGCGUUGUCCGGAAUCAUUGGGCGUAAAGAGCUCGUAGGCGGCUCAGUAAGUCGGGUGUGAAACCCUCAGGCUCAACCUGGGGACGCCACCCGAUACUGCUGUGGCUAGAGUCCAGUAGGGGAGUGUGGAAUUCCCGGUGUAGCGGUGAAAUGCGCAGAUAUCAGGAGGAACACCGGUGGCGAAGGCGGGUCUCUGGGCCGAUACUGACGCUGGAGGAGCGAAAGCGUGGGGAGCAAACAGG
rnacentral:rRNA from 1 species